rfam:Populus trichocarpa scaffold_4_contig_370, whole genome shotgun sequence.
CAUUUUUCGAUAAAUCUCCUAUUUCUAGGGACUAAUAUCAUUUUUUGACAAGUCUUUUAUUUUUAGGGAUC